GACGAACGCUGGCGGCGUGCUUAACACAUGCAAGUCGAACGGUAAGGCCCUUCGGGGUACACGAGUGGCGAACGGGUGAGUAACACGUGGGUGAUCUGCCCUGCACUUCGGGAUAAGCCUGGGAAACUGGGUCUAAUACCGGAUAGGACCACUGCCUGCAUGGGUGGUGGGGGAAAGCUUUUGCGGUGUGGGAUGGGCCCGCGGCCUAUCAGCUUGUUGGUGGGGUGAUGGCCUACCAAGGCGACGACGGGUAGCCGGCCUGAGAGGGUGACCGGCCACACUGGGACUGAGAUACGGCCCGGACUCCUACGGGAGGCAGCAGUGGGGAAUAUUGCACAAUGGGCGCAAGCCUGAUGCAGCGACGCCGCGUGAGGGAUGACGGCCUUCGGGUUGUAAACCUCUUUCAGCACCGACGAAGCGCAAGUGACGGUAGGUGCGGAAGAAGGACCGGCCAACUACGUGCCAGCCGCCGCGGUAA
rnacentral:rRNA from 1 species